GAUGAACGCUGGCGGCGUGCCUAAUACAUUCAAGUCGAGCGAACAGACGAGGAGCUUGCUCCUCUGACGUUAGCGGCGGACGGGUGAGUAACACGUGGAUAACCUACCUAUAAGACUGGGAUAACUUCGGGAAACCGGAGCUAAUACCGGAUAAUAUAUUGAACCGCAUGGUUCAAUAGUGAAAGACGGUUUUGCUGUCACUUAUAGAUGGAUCCGCGCCGCAUUAGCUAGUUGGUAAGGUAACGGCUUACAAAGGCAACGAUACGUAGCCGACCCGGGGGGGUGAGCGGGCACACUGGAACUGAGACACGGUCCAGCCUCCUACGGGAGGCAGCAGUAGGGAGUCUUCCGCAAUGGGCGAAAGCCUGACGUAGGAACGCCGCGUGGGUGAUGAAGGUCUUCGGAUCGUAAAACUCUGUUAGUAGGGAGGAACAAAUGUGUAAGUAACUGUGCACGUCUUGACGGUACCUAAUCAGAAAGCCACGGCUAACUACGUGCCAGCCGCCGCCGUAA
rnacentral:rRNA from 1 species